GACGAACGCUGGCGGCGUGCCUAAUACAUGCAAGUCGAACGCUUCUUUCCUCCCGAGUGCUUGCACUCAAUUGGAAAGAGGAGUGGCGGACGGGUGAGUAACACGUGGGUAACCUACCCAUCAGAGGGGGAUAACACUUGGAAACAGGUGCUAAUACCGCAUAACAGUUUAUGCCGCAUGGCAUAAGAGUGAAAGGCGCUUUCGGGUGUCGUUGAUGGAUGGACCCGCGGUGCAUUAGCUAGUUGGUGAGGUAACGGCUCACCAAGGCCACGAUGCAUAGCCGACCUGAGAGGGUGAUCGGCCACACUGGGACUGAGACACGGCCCAGACUCCUACGGGAGGCAGCAGUAGGGAAUCUUCGGCAAUGGACGAAAGUCUGACCGAGCAACGACGCGUGAGUGAAGAAGGUUUUCGGAUCGUAAAACUCUGUUGUUAGAGAAGAACAAGGACGUUAGUAACUGAACGUCCCCUGACGGUAUCUAACCAGAAAGCCACGGCUAACUACGUG
rnacentral:rRNA from 1 species